rnacentral:rRNA from 1 species
ACGCACGCUGGCGGCGUGCUUCACACAUGCAAGUCGAACGGAAAGGCCCUGCUUUUGUGGGGUGCUCGAGUGGCGAACGGGUGAGUAACACGUGAGUAACCUGCCCUUGACUUUGGGAUAACUUCAGGAAACUGGGGCUAAUACCGGAUAGGAGCUCCUGCUGCAUGGUGGGGGUUGGAAAGUUUCGGCGGUUGGGGAUGGACUCGCGGCUUAUCAGCUUGUUGGUGGGGUAGUGGCUUACCAAGGCUUUGACGGGUACCCGGCCUGAGAGGGUGACCGGCCACAUUGGGACUGAGAUACGGCCCAGACUCCUACGGGAGGCAGCAGUGGGGAAUAUUGCACAAUGGGCGGAAGCCUGAUGCAGCAACGCCGCGUGCGGGAUGACGGCCUUCGGGUUGUAAACCGCUUUCGCCUGUGACGAAGCGUGAGUGACGGUAAUGGGUAAAGAAGCACCGGCUAACUACGUG